ACGUACACUCCUGCGGGAGGCAGCAGUGGGGAAUAUUGGACAAUGGGCGCAAGACUGAUCCAGCCAUGCCGCGUGAGUGAUGAAGGCCCUAGGGUUGUAAAGCUCUUUCACCGGUGAAGAUAAUGACGGUAACCGGAGAAGAAGCCCCGGCUAACUUCGUGCCAGCAGCCGCGGUAAUACGAAGGGGGCUAGCGUUGUUCGGAUUUACUGGGCGUAAAGCGCACGUAGGCGGACUAUUAAGUCAGGGGUGAAAUCCCGGGGCUCAACCCCGGAACUGCCUUUGAUACUGGUAGUCUUGAGUUCGAGAGAGGUGAGUGGAAUUCCGAGUGUAGAGGUGAAAUUCGUAGAUAUUCGGAGGAACACCAGUGGCGAAGGCGGCUCACUGGCUCGAUACUGACGCUGAGGUGCGAAAGCGUGGGGAGCAAACAGGAUUAGAUACCCCAGUAGUCC
rnacentral:rRNA from 1 species